AAUGAACGUUGGCGGCGUGGAUUAGGCAUGCAAGUCGAGCGAGAACCCCGCAAGGGGGGACAGCGGCGAAAGGGACAGUAAUGUGUAGAUUAUCUGCCCUCAGGCCCGGGAUAGCUGCGGGAAACUGCAGGUAAUACCGGAUAACAUCUCUGGAUCAAAGGCGUGAUUCCGCCUGGGGAUGAGUCUACAUCCUAUUAGCUAGUUGGUAGGUAAUGGCCUACCAAGGCUUUGAUGGGUAGCGGGUGUGAGAGCACGACCCGCGUCAUUGGGACUGAGACACUGCCCAGACACCUACGGGUGGCUGCAGUCGAGAAUCUUCGGCAAGUGGGCGCAAGCCUGACCGAGCGACGCCGCGUGUGGGA
rnacentral:rRNA from 1 species